rnacentral:lncRNA from 1 species
UAUAAAUAAUUCUGUUGUUGGUCAUUGCUACUUGAAGUCAUUCAAGCCUGCAGGUCACUCAAGGGCAAAGCUUGGGCCUGUUCCCUUCCUGUCCUCAGUGGACAGCUCAGAAUCACUCAAUUGUAUUCACUAGUUUGUCUUUUGCUGAAAUUUUCCACCCUUCUUGUCUGGGUCCUCCUUCCCCAGCAGUGAAACUGGUUACACUGAGAUGGAAGGAGGAACUGGAAGAGGGAAGAUUAACCUUUCACUGGCCACAAUGCGUUGCCUCUUAUUGAGGAGGAUUCGGCAACCCAGCCCCCUCCAAUCCAGCCUAUCUGUCUGAACUGCUGAAAGCAUAAUGCUCCCAUAUGAGAGAUAAGUAAGUGAGCUCUCUUUCUUUUCCAUAGGGAUGAACUAUAGUGUAUGCAGAUUAUUAGGGGAAGAAAAUAAUAUCAGAGAAAGGUGGCUUUCUUAAAAGGCAUCAGUAGCAUUAGUGUCAUGUGUGAAGCACCCAUUUGUGACAACUGCAUAGCCCUUUCAAUGGAAAAUUGUGCCGUGCUACCUUUUAAAGUAUGAAAUGCUAAUUUUGGAUUUACAGUUUUUGAACUGGAGGGCUGCAUUUUGCAUGGAAUUUUGUUUAAUUUCCCAGUGAAAAAAGGCAUUUGAAACACAACUGCCUACAGCCAACUGUCAACAAAAAUCAACUGUAAUAACACGCAGCCUGUCACUGAUUUAUGUGGUGAUGUGGUAAUCUUCUCAAUUUAGCUGGAUAUUUCUUCUUCAUACAAAAUAGCUGAAAGUCUUGCUAGACAUUUAUGAAUAUCAGGAGGUACUAUUAGGGUGAUAAUGGGGCGAGAUUAAGGAGGUGUUCACUAGUUCAAAGUGCCAGUUAAAGAGACAGGGUAUUGAGAAGUGCUGGCAUAUAUCUAUAAGGCCCAUUGGUGUAAGUGAACUUUAUAUUUUCAGAGUUUCUUAGGCUUUGGGAGACGGCAUAUUGAGUUCCAUCUGCCAAGAGAGCAUCUUUCUAAAGGGGGGCUAGGAGGAGCAGCUAUAAACAUGAUUUUCUUUCUGAAAAUUUAUUUUUGUUUAGCAAGGAAUGGGUUGGAAAUCUUAGGUAUCAAACACGGAGCCAAAUAAGCAAUAUAGACAACGGGGUGCUGGGGUCCUCUGGAUCCGAGCCUUAGUUGUGGUCACUUUGCAGAAGGCUGCCUCUCAGUGAGAACUGGCAAGUAGGAUAUCACAUCCUGCAUAUCACAGCUAAGAAAGUAAUUGGCCUCUCAUAAGGAGCUAGAACUAAUGCAGACAAAACGGUACUGCAAGACUUGAGCCACAAAUAAAGAGAGAAGUUUGUGUUUUACA